CUUCUUCUUCUUCUUCGCAGGUCGCCUCUUCCGCUCUUCGGUCUGCCACUCUGUCUCUCCUCACAGCUCACGCGGUCGGCCUCUGCUCACAGCGUCACAGUACACGGUUGUGGAUCAGCCUCUAUUUCAUUGGCUAAUUCCCGGGUCAACAUGUCAGCCCGAUCAUCUUGUCCACCUGCAAAGCUAUAGACCCGAAAUGCAAGCUGGAAGGCUCUCCAAAGCAUCUUUGUGUGUCCAUUCGCAGCUGACUUUGCCUCUCUCCGUUCCUAAAGUAAAAGCCAAACGUCUUAUACAGACUCAUAAAAAGGAAUCAACCUUGUCAAGAAGCUGGCCCAAAGGAGGCAUUACUUUCCAGUUCUCCAGAGCAGUAACUAUUCCUUCCAAUUUUAAGUACAGUGCUGUCGCAGUCCUCAAUGAUUCGAGCUUCUUUGUGGGAAAACCUUCAAAUCUUGCCAGCACCUGCAUUACAAGGACUUAGGCUUUUGUUUCAAAGAGCCAAGAAUGAAAAGGAUCAAUGGAUUGGACCAUAUGGUAUGAGCAUCACCUGGGUCUCAUCAGUCAACUGCUCUAAAUGUUGUUCCACAUAUUUGUGGAAUUUAACAAGCUCAGCCAUGUCCUUGGUUUGAAAGGAAUUGAUGGCAGCUUUAAUGUUCAGGAUUGAUUUUUCAUGCUUCUGAACGUCUUCUUCAAUUUGCUGGAAAUAUGCUGAUCUAAGGAAACAAAGAAGGGAAACAGUAGCAGGAUCCGAUACAUGUUGCCCAUAUGGGUUGAUCUCUUCAGUUUGGUAGUUGCCUUCUUUGGGCGUAAGGCCUUUGCUACACCAAGUGGAGGAGGAGGUGGUGGUGCAGCUCCCUUUUUCAGUGGCAUUGGAGGCGAUACUGCUGGUGCGGAUCCUUUAGGUGGAAGUAGAGGUGGCGCUGCAGCAAGAUUUGAAGGCGGAAUGGACGGUGGUGAUGGGACCGUUGUUGGUAUAGUUGGAGGAGUAUUGAACAGCGGUUUUGGAGGUGGAAGUGGCACAGCUAUUAACUCUCUUGCUUUAGGCAUCAUAUUAUCUGAACUAAAAUUUGGAAACUUUGGUGAAGUGUUUGUAGCUUUGGAAUCAUUUAGCCUCUCAUGACUUACUUUAUCUUGUGAUUCUUUAGCAAUUUCUUGCAAUAUUUCUGGAUUUUGGUCAACAGCAGCCUUGUUUUUCCCUCUCGUGGGGCUGGAACCUUCAGCUGAUACAUUAAGGUACAUGUUGGAUGAGAGGCAUUUCAUGUCGGUGGGCAUCAAGUUUCCCAUUGCCUGAAGUCUGAGAGGCAAAAGAAGAGGUCGGGAGCAGGAAACAGCAGCCAAUUCACCAAGUCUCGUAGCAAAGGUCAGCUCAGGAGGGAAUGAAGUUGGAGUAUCUGGGGAAGGGCAGUAGGUUUUGUUGUCUGAGUAGGAUCUAUACAAAACGUCCCCGAUGGUGGAGCCCUUCUCGUCUUCUUCCAUCACAUCGAACAUCUUUUUCGCUAUGUUAGUCAUGUAUUUGAGCUUUGCUUGUACAAGUUCUCCUUCAAUACAAUUAAUUUAUCAACUCUCUGAAGACAGUAUAUGAGCGAAAGAAAGAGAGAAGACGUAGACAAAGAUUUACGGGAAGAGCCCAAAAAGGCUACAUCUUGCUCGUAUUCUUUGAUAAUAUUUAUAGUACAAAAGACUCUUAUUUAUAAGAAAAUUGGGGUAGGUGAAGAUAAAAAAAAAUGUAUAGUAAUCAAAUUAAUUAUGGAAUCAAUCAUAGAAAGUUAUUAUCCUAUAAGAAAUAUAUACCAUAUCAUAUAUUCUAAGAGUAUUUAAUGCUUUAACAAGAACGAAGGUAUCCUACCGAGUUGCUCCAAACUGAUGUUGUCGACCAAGCUGUCCUCUGUCUCAUCUCCACAGUUGGUUAUCCACUUGUGGUUCUUUGCCCAUGAAUCUCCAAUAGAUUUCAAAGCAGUGUAAAGAUUGCAGGGAACAACAUUAGGGUACAGAUUAUGGAGAUCUUCUACUGUUCCCAUCACCAGCUGCCAGAAGGUGGAAAACAGGACAGAGAAAUGAAGUGCAAUUUGACAUGAACAGUAUUUCUGGUACUGCAAAAUUAAAUAGUGAGUACCUCAUGGAUGGGGCUCGAACCAUCACAAGGUGGAAGGUCAAUGAUGUCUCUAAAGUGGGAGAAUAAUGGUGCCUUUGCUGAUAAUCCAGUCGCCAUCUUCGUUGCAGAUGACAAUAUUCAAAGUUUCAAUAACCCGCCAUUUUAGCCUCCGAGGAUCAAGAAGACAGAUGACGAAUUGAAACUGAGACUAGUUAAGGUAAAUCACCUCUGCAACUAUAUCUUUGGCUUAUAUGUAAGAAUGCUGUGAUUGAAAGCAACCAAGAGAAAAGGCCAAGUUCGAGAAACUAUGAUGCAGCGCUGGGGUUCGAGAGAAAAUAGCAGCAGGUCCUCUGUCCCCUCCAGCCCCUCCUCCUUUUAAGGGGCAAACCGUGUAGGUUUGCCUGGCAAGCCUCUUUGGUGCCUGGACCUUAAUAUAGGGAAUAAUCCUCCUCUACAAUUUAGGAAGUGAUGGGUUGAGAGAUUGCCACUUGUGUGUCUUCAGCUCUAAAAUAACUACUAGAUAGCAUUUCCAGAAGGAUCAGAACCCCCUGCCACCCUUUUCCUUUUCUUUGGAACUGCACAACGAUGGCAAUUUAGCCAAUUCAUGUAGGUUCCAAAUUUCCAUCCCCACGAUCGAUAUCACUGGAUGUCGAUCAUGAGUGCUGUUAGGGGUACUAUAGUUUUUACUACAACUUUUCUUACAAACUGACGUGACAGUCUAUAAUUAGUGAAAUUAUUAAGCGAAAAAUGUAACUUGCCAAUUUAAUUAGGCACAGAAAUUUUCAACAAACUGAAUUUGUAAGAAAUUUUCUAUAAAUCAACUUUUAAAAAUGACAUGUGUUUAUGGCAUUUGAAAGACAUGUUUUUUUUAAUAGCAUAUGUUUUUCACAUGCUUAAAGGACACAUAUCACUUUUAGAGACGGGUUUGUAGGAGUUUCUUACAACCGGUUUGUUGGAAAUUUUCAUACAUUAAUUAGUUUGUAAUUGAUUUGUCAAUCAUACAUGCUUAAUCAUUCUAUCAGUUAUGAACUGUCAUGUCAGUUUGUAAAGAGAUAGCAAAAGUGGUAAUACUCCAAACAUUUUCGCUUGAAUCAUAUACCCAUUUUUUUGUCAAAAUAUUUCCUAUUUAUUUUGCACACUUGUCAUUCAUGAUGUGGCUUUUCGUUUUAAAUGGAUGUAAUUAACCAUACUAUAUUGAAAUACAUGAUUAAGCUCUAAAAGAUGAGAGUAGGCACAUAACAUGCUAGGUAUCACUAGGUCCACAAUUUUAAGAGAGGGGGUCAUUAUAUGCAAUACCACUAUCUUAGCUAAUUGCUCCAUGAAAUGAAUCUUCAUAGUUAUUAAAAUUAGGAAAAAUUGUAUCAUUAGUCCAUGUGGUUGGCCUAAAUUACAAAUUGCUCCAUUUGUUAUCAAAAUUAAUUCACAGAUCCUUGUGGUUGACUUAAUUUACAAAUCGCUCCUUAGAGUCAAAUUCUGUUAAAAAUCUUGACAAAUUCGGCUCAAGAGGCAACCACCCAAUUUCUAUUUUCAUUUUUUUUGAAUAAUCUUUUAAAUUUUAUUUAUUUAUAUUUUAAUAGAUUUUUUUUUAUUUUAUUUAUUUUUUAUUAUUAUGAUCGAUACGUCUAGCCAUCUUAUUGGCUCUAACGUGGUGCCUAAUGGAAUUUGUUAAAAUUUGUAACGGAAUUUGACACUGGGAAGCGAUUUAUAAAUUAAUCCGACUACAAGGAUCUUUGAAUUAAUUUUGAUGUUAAAGUGAGCGAUUUGUAAUUUAGGCCAGCCACAUGGACUAAUAGUACAUUUUUUCCUUAAAACUAUAGCGCGGGUU